CCGAGUUUACAACUCCCAAACCCCCAUGUGAACUUUACCAUUCCGUUGCUUCGGCGGGAGUGCCCCGGGCGCGGUCGCGAGACCAGCCCCGGAACCAGGCGCCCGCCGGAGGACCCCAAACUCUAUGUUUCCUAUAGUGGAUUUUCUUCUGAGUCGGCCGCAAGGCAAACAAAUAAAUAA
rnacentral:misc_RNA from 1 species